CGCUGGCGGCGCGCCUAACACAUGCAAGUCGAACGAGCGAGAGAGAGCUUGCUUUCUCGAGCGAGUGGCGAACGGGUGAGUAACGCGUGAGGAACCUGCCUCAAAGAGGGGGACAACAGUUGGAAACGACUGCUAAUACCGCAUAAGCGCACGGUGUCGCAUGACACAGUGUGAAAAACUCCGGUGGUAUAAGAUGGACCCGCGUCUGAUUAGCCAGUUGGCAGGGUAACGGCCUACCAAAGCGACGAUCAGUAGCCGGCCUGAGAGGGUGAACGGCCACAUUGGGACUGAGACACGGCCCAAACUCCUACGGGAGGCAGCAGUGGGGAAUAUUGCACAAUGGGGGAAACCCUGAUGCAGCGACGCCGCGUGAGUGAAGAAGUAUUUCGGUAUGUAAAGCUCUAUCAGCAGGGAAGAAGAAAUGACGGUACCUGACUAAGAAGCCCCGGCUAACUACGUG
rnacentral:rRNA from 1 species